UACGUAGGUGGCAAGCGUUUGUCCGGAAUUAUUGGGCGUAAAGAGCGCGCAGGCGGCUGGUCAAGUCCGAUGUGAAAGCUCCCGGCUUAACUGGGAAAUUGCAUCGGAAACUGAUCGGCUGGAAGGUGGGAGAGGGUAGCGGAAUUCCCGGUGUAGUGGUGAAAUGCGUAGAUAUCGGGAGGAACACCAGUGGCGAAAGCGGCUACCUGGCCCAUUCUUGACGCUGAGGCGCGAAAGCUAGGGGAGCAAACGGG
rnacentral:rRNA from 1 species